rnacentral:rRNA from 1 species
UACGUAGGUGGCAAGCGUUGUCCGGAAUUAUUGGGCGUAAAGCGCGCGCAGGCGGUCCUUUAAGUCUGAUGUGAAAGCCCACGGCUCAACCGUGGAGGGUCAUUGGAAACUGGGGGACUUGAGUGCAGAAGAGGAAAGUGGAAUUCCAAGUCGUAGCGGUGAAAUGCGUAGAGAUUGGAGGAACACCAGUGGCGAAGGCGACUUUCUGGUCUGUAACUGACGCUGAGGCGCGAAAGCGUGGGAGCAACAGGG